ensembl:lncRNA
CUACUGAACAGCAAUACUAUUUAGUUGCUACAUGGGAUACAUUAUUUAAUGCAGUGUGCAAAAAAUACAGCAGUAAACGUAAUAUGCUAGUAUGCUAUACUAAACAUAUCCAUUAUCAUUUCAUUAUUUUCACCGUCAACACAGACUGAUAUCAAUAUUCUCACACGACAUCCAGUCAUAUGGAGAAUCUUUCAUAUUAUAUAAGAGUCAGUUUGAGUCCAUUUAUGUUUUUUAGUUCCCAUAGUUAUUCUGUUCUCAGGCAGGUCAUCUGAUCUGAACAUCACAGACCUGAAACAGGAUCUGUCAGUGGCAAACAUUGAUGGUGUACACAGAGAGACCAUAUCGCACCGGUUCUUCCUCGACUCAGAUCAGAGCCAAGCCACAUGGGUUUAUCUGACAUGAGCAGCAGGCAGACGUGCCCGUGUGGAUUGGCAUAAGGUGGCACCCUGAGCUUCAGCGGUCUCCGCAGGAUGCAGAGCAGACAUUAAGGGCUCAUGCUCACGAUGCGUACUUGGGUUUACAGGCAGAGAGAAGGAGAGCCAGAGCGAGAGCAGCCUGCAGACUUUACAAAACUUUCCAUAUAGCUCGUAAAAUAGCAUGUUCGGGAAAGAAAUAUGGCUGCAGCCAUAAUGUGCCAUGCUGUCUGAACUGGAGAAGGUCAUUGCGGGUAACAGAGAAGAAUUGCUGGCCCAGCUCUUCCCAAAACACUAACCAACUAGGUCAAGCUGACCAAGGAGUUUAAAAUGACACUGAAGGUCAGUGGGGAGGGGAUGCUGUUUCUGGGGUCUGAUCUUGUUGCCCAAGGUGAGAACGAACUCCCUUCUUUGCUUCCCUAAUUUUAUCCUCACCCUGCACCCUCCUUACAUUAACCCUUCCAUUAAAGUCACAUUCCCCAGUCAACAGCCGAAACUUGCCAUGCAAGUGGUUUUACGCUACCAAUUAGGCAUCCACAGACCAAGCAGGAAUGUCUGAGCCCACAGUUAAUCAUAGAGGACUUCAACCGUUAACAAAGCUUUGGUUUUUCAUCCUUAUAAAGUUCAGGAUCUGCUUAAGUUUGUUGUGCAUGAGUCUGUAUAUCCUAUUGAGGUUUGGUGUGGGGAGGAUGAUGACCGGUUAGUUUUUGAUGGACUGUGGUUCAGUCUGGCCCUAUUUUGGAGAAGCGCUGCACCAGGGGAAUGUGAGAAUCAGUCAUUUGGGAUUAGGACGCAUCUGUCUUCAGAGUAAGAAAGACACAUUCAAGCCAGUAAAAGCUUUGGUGGGCUGAAUUAAUUGCACCACAAAAAUGUAAAAGUUUUAAAGCACCGUUUUAAUCCUCAAAUGAAAAAACAAUUAAAAACUACAGCACACUCUUACAGUACAUAAUGAGGAAUCAUUCCAAAGCCUCUUUUCAUCGAAGAAAAAUAUGUAUAUAUGUUUCGUAGUUGCAACAAUGUUUUUAACUGUGAUUUUAUAUUCACGAUUUUCAUGUAAUUAUAACUGACAGUUUUUGAAUUGUGACUUUAUAGCAUUCCGUGUCCUUAUAUUUCAUUAUGGUAACUUUUUUCUCACAAUUGUCGAGAAAUUUCACAAAGUUUAAAAUUUCACAAAGUGACUUCAAAUUUUGCAAUUGUGACUAAAUUUCUCGUAAAUUGCAAACUUAUAUGCCUUUAUUUCUCAUUAUGGCAACUGUUUUUUCGUAAUUACAACAUUGUAUCUCACAAUGUGACUUCAAAUUUCUUAGCUGCGACUUUUCUCGUAAAAUG